rnacentral:rRNA from 1 species
GACGAAGGAUGCAAGCGUUAUCCGGAUUCAUUGGGUUUAAAGGGAGCGUAGGUGGCCUUAUAAGUCAGUGGUGAAAUCUCUCGGCUUAACUGAGAAAUUGCCAUUGAUACUGUGGGGCUUGAGUACAGUUGCUGUGGGCGGAAUAUGACAUGUAGUGGUGAAAUACUUAGAUAUGUCAUAGAACACCGAUUGCGAAGGCAGCUAACGAAGCUGUAACUGACGCUGAGGCUCGAAAGUGCGGGGAUCAAACAGG